GGAGAGGUGGCAGAGCGGACGAAUGCGGCGGUCUCGAAAACCGUUAGGUCCUUUUUGGGCCUCGGGAGUUCGAAUCUCCCCCUCUCCG
rnacentral:tRNA from 1 species